rnacentral:rRNA from 1 species
GUAGGUGGCAAGCGUUGUCCGGAAUUAUUGGGCGUAAAGCGCGCGCAGGCGGUUCUUUAAGUCUGAUGUGAAAGCCCACGGCUCAACCGUGGAGGGUCAUUGGAAACUGGAGAACUUGAGUACAGAAGAGGAAAGCGGAAUUCCACGUGUAGCGGUGAAAUGCGUAGAGAUGUGGAGGAACACCGAGUGGCGAAGGCGGCUUUCUGGUCUGUAACUGACGCUGAGGCGCGAAAGCGUGGGGAGCAAACAGGAUUAGAUACCCUGGUAGUCCACGCCGUAAACGAUGAGUGCUAAGUGUUAGGGGGUUUCCGCCCCCUUAGUGCUGCAGCUAACGCAUUAAGCACUCCGCCUGGGAUACGGCCGCAAGGCUG